rnacentral:tRNA from 1 species
CACCCGAUGACUGAAAUGCAAGUGUAGGUCUUUUAAACCUAAAAUAGUAUAAGCGCCUACUUCAGGUGG